AUUGAACGCUGGCGGCAGGCCUAACACAUGCAAGUCGAACGAGUGGCGGACGGGUGAGUAAUGUCUGGGAAACUGCCUGAUGGAGGGGGAUAACUACUGGAAACGGUAGCUAAUACCGCAUACCAUCGGAUGUGCCCAGAUGGGUUUAGCUAGUCGGUGGGGUAACGGCUCACCUAGGCGACGAUCCCUAGCUGGUCUGAGAGGAUGACCAGCCGCAGUGGAACUGAUGGACGGUACGGACGCCUACGGGAGGGAGCAGUGGAGAAUAUUGCACAAUAGGCGAAAGCCUGAUGCAGCCAUGCCGCGUGUAUGAAAAAGGCCGUCGGGUUGUAAAGUACUUUCAGCGGAGGGGCGUUGCCCGCAAAGGAAGCACCGGCUAACUCCGUGCCAGCAGCCGCGGUAAUAC
rnacentral:rRNA from 1 species